CUCACUGUCCAGUUGGGCCGAGCACCCAAGGCUCACUGGGGACAAACACAGCCCAGACUUUCAAAACAGCUGUGAAACAUCUCCCUGAGAGAUCUUUGGGCUUUUCUUGUUACACAUCCCCACAUAAACUAACCACACACAGGGUGGGUCUUUCAACACCCAACAUCGUUGUACGACACAUCCUGACCACGAAACAAAGCACAGAGAGAAAAGAAACUUUAAAGUGGGCUUACCCAGGACAAGACAAACUGAAAACAGCAAGACUGGAUUCAUUUGAAAUACCUUGACCAGAUUUAUUAAAAAAUAUCCCUUGGCAGUUGACAAUCACCACGAUCCACAAUCAGAACCUGACUGGACAACAUUGGAACAGUUUUCACCUACAGCAGAAGGCGAAUACCUGGGAACACCCCAGCAAGGCCUACACACCCCUACUGGCAUUAAACACUGGGCUGGCACUGAGGAGCUCAGGGCAAAUGCUGGCUGUGGUGCCAAUUACACCACAGGUGUUAAUUACAGUGUGCUCUGAUACUCACCUGGUCUGUGGGAAAAAAACAAAUGUUCAAAAUACGGGGGAAAAGAAUCAGUCCAGAGAAGGACCCAGAGAAACUGGACACUGCUUUGAUGCAGCUCUUGCUCUGCUGCAGCCAAGGAAGAGUAGGGAAAGGGAAGCUGGACAGUGUGGCUGGACACAUUCAGAGAUGUUCUGCUGCCUGGUGAGAAGGGUUUGGUGCUGCAGGACACAAUGGUGGUGGGUCACUGGUCAUCGACAGGCAGCAUCUGCCAGGUCAGACCCUGACUGGGGAGGGCUCAGGGCCUCAUUAGGGCUUCCAUUCCCCAGUGAAACCCAAUGAACACACACCGAGAUGCUGACAAGAAAUCCCAAGAGAGGUGGGGGGAGUGGGACAGACAGACAGACACUGGGUUUGUUCUUUGGGCCAGAUUCCUGUUUUGGAACUAUCAAGGUUCCUCUUCUUGCCCAGCCACUGCCACUCAGCCAGUCCUUCCUCUGUGGACACUCACUCCAGAAAAACUUCAUUCCCCUUUCCAAGGAAAUUAAAGGGAUCUGAAUAAGGCACUGAAAUUCCAGAGCAGACCAUCAAUGCUCUCUGUCAAAUAGAAAAAUAACUAUUUAAAGUUCAUCUCCGGUUUUGGCCAACACAAGUUCCCUGUGGGGAAAAGCUCUGUCCAGCAGUGAUCUAAGGUGGCUGCAGAGGUGCUGCCAGUGGCAGCUGCACGGCUCCUUCCCAGUGCUUCAGAGCUGGAUUGAAAUAAGGAAAAAUUAGGAAGGAGUUGUCUUCUCAGCCUGGGCACUGGGAAUAGGAAGGUCAUCCACUGCCAACCAACAUAUCAAAGUGCAGCACGUCUACGUGACAAAUCCCUUCCGUGUUUAAGAUGCCUCCUAAAUAUGCACCUAAUCAAAAAUUAACUUGGUGGCUUCACGAUUAUCAAAGAAAUAUUGUUAAAAGCCAGAUCCAAACCGAAGGGCUGAAAAACCUAUUCCAAACUAUUCUUCUUCCAGAUCAUGUGCCAAGGGCUGUGGCUGAAGUGGGGUUGGAGCAAAAAUACGAAAGCAAAACCGAUUUGGAGUUGACACAGUGUAUUGUGAAUUACUUCUCAGCUUUUCUACAUCUAAGAGAGAAUGAAAUGAUCGGCCGUACAGUGGAACACUUUAAUAUACAAUAGAUUACAGAGCUGCAGAUAAUACGCGUUGGAUCUAUAUACACACAGAGCUUAACAGUUCACAGAUACAACUUUUUGCCAUCUCGGUUUGUCCACGAAGCAUUGGCAGAGUAUUUACAGUGAGGCUGCUGCGAGGAAGCCCCGUCCCCCGUAGAGCCCCGGGCGAGGCUGCCCCAGCAGGGGGUGUAAACAGAGCGGUUCUUUCCUUCUGCAAAGGGAGGGAGAAGGUGGGAACAUGGCUGCGCUGGGCAGGAGGGAAAGGAACCAGAAAAAAAUAAUGUCCAGCUAACCUGGAGACUUCAAUACACUUCAAUUUGCCUUUUAAAAUAUUUUAACUGGAAGCUGUUAUCAAAUUCAUUUUCAAUUUGUAAUUCAAUAAUGUUUUAAUGGCAUUUUCAAUUUAUGCUUUAUAUCCAUCUAUAUUUCUAUCCAUCCCCACAUGUGCUUGUGCAAGGACAGGGAGUACUGAAGCUCUGGGUCAGUGCUAAGGGGGCUUCUCAAGGAAGCAGGGGAUGCUCAGGGGCCUGUGCUGGCUCCCAGGCCACUCCUUGCCCUUGGCAAAACAAAGCCAACCCUGGUCUCAGCUGAUCACUGCAAAACUCUGCUUGUGAUCAGGUACCACCACCUCGACACCCAGUGAUGGCUUUUACAGGGGGAUCACUGUGUGGGUGUCAUUGUGUGGACAGAGGAUGGGCAGACCCAACCCAAACCCCAACCCCAACCCUUAUCCUCAGCCCCAGCGGGUCGUGGUCGGACAGAGUGCUCUGAUUCCCAGUGCAGGCUUUCCGUAACCAGCUGAAGUUUGCUCCAUGAGAAAAUCAAAGCAAUAGGCAGGAAGGAAGGUACAUUUACCAUGGCCUAGCUGCUGUAGCAGGCAGCAGCCCAGAGCAAACCUCCCCAGAGCUUGGGGACAGCUUGGGUGCUGGAGCUGCUGCUGCCCAGGCUCCACUGUGGGACCUGCAUGGCAGCUCCUCCACUGGGGCUCUUCCCAAUUGAUCCCCUUUUCCAUCAUUUACAUCCCUGCCUUGUCCCCCUCAGUGCUGAAAGGAUGAAAGGGUGAGAAAGGAGGAACCCAGCCCUUGCCACCAGCAAAGACAACAUCUGAUGCUAAGUUAAGAAAAUUGUUUCAUGGAAAGAAGGAGCUUUCCUGAGCAAUUCAACACCUAAAGCUAUCCAGCUGACACUGGGCAGUGAGGUGACUUUCCUGACAGCACAUGGCGGGGGCUUGUUUACCUGUUCCUGGGGAACUGGCUGGCCAAGGUCCUUGUCAUCUUUGGAUACUGCUGCUGCCUCCCUGCAAACCAGAGACACUUGCCAUCGAGCAGGAAAAAUUCCCAAAUACUCAGCACGACCUCAGAACUGCGUUUCUUGUUCCAGCAGAUGUCGGAGUUGUUAAGGCUCUUGGCUUUAAAGAGUUUAUUACUUUGGAAGUUUAAAGCUGGACUUGCAGCAGGGUGUAGCAGGUCUCUGUCUCAGCACAGGUAUUAUGUGUCUCUGUAUCUCAGCAUGGGCUCUGACAGCAGAAGCAAUUAAACUGGGGAGAGGGUGACUGGUACCUGUGGGCUCCUGGAACAUCUGCUGGUGCCAGUGGGACCACGCCAGUACCUGUGCAGUGGCCAAACACUGGCUGAGGCAGUGACACAGAGCAGAGCUGGCAGUGCUGCCUCCUCCUCCUUUGGACAUGAUGGAGUGGUACAUCCAGUACUGGAAAUAAACCCUAAACACAGCUCUGGGCUCACCUGGAAAAGGCAAAGCUUCAGAGUCACUAAAGAGGCAUUUCCCCUUGGACACAGCCACAGAUGGACAACAUGCUAUGUGUCCUUCCCUGCCCUGAGAUGUAUCUCCAGCACAAAUCCAUACAAACCAUCUUCAAUUCCAAAGAUGGAAUGCACUAAGGUAGAAACAAAUGAAGACUUGAGUAACUGAGGGAGGAAAAUGAGGAAAAACUUGAGAAAGUAACUUUGAUUCAUCUGAAGGAGGAUUUGAGAAUUGAUGGCCAAAUCAGUGACAUGCAAGUGGUGGCACUGGCUUAUAUCACACAUCCAGCAACGAGUUGGAUGACAAACUGGUCAGAGCAUCACCCAUGAGAGUGGGAACUUAAACUUGUACCAACUGUUCCUCGCCAGGACCUUCUCUGCAGUUCUUCAAUUCAGUGAACAGUGCAAUUUCUGGACAUUAAAAUCCAUUCCAGGCAUGGAGAUGCUCCAAGGAGUGGAGCCCCUCUGCUCUGGGUCAGGCUGGGAGAGCUGGGGGUGCUCAGCUGGAGAGGAGAAGCUCCAGGGAGAGCUCAGAGCCCCUGCCAGGGCCUAAAGGGGCUCCAGGAGAGCUGGAGAGGGACUGGGGACAAGGCAUGGAGGGACAGGACACAGGGAAUGGCUUCCCACUGCCAGAGGGCAGGGAUGGAUGGGAUAUUGGAAGGAAUUGUUCCCUGGCAGGGUGGGCAGCCCUGGCACAGGGUGCCCAGAGCAGCUGUGGCUGCCCCUGGAUCCCUGGCAGUGCCCAAGGCCAGGCUGGACAGGGCUUGGAGCAGCCUGGGAUAGUGGAAGGUGUCCCUGCCCAUGGCAGAGGGUGGCAAAAGAUGGUUUUUAAGGUCCCUUCCAACCCAAACCAUUCUGGGAUCCUGUGCAAUUGCUGCAGUGAGCCAGAGAAGAGGGAGACACAAUGGAGCACACCAAGGCUGGGACAGGAGAUGCUGACAGCGGCCUUGGGGCCAUUCCAGAAGUGUGGGACAGCUCCUGAGGAGGGUGCUGAGCUCCACCCCUGAGCACGGGUGUGGGUACACCCUGAGCUCCUGCCUCCAGCUCCUGGCCAGCCUCAGGCUGGGCAGCUGGGUUAGGGCAGCACAUGUUUAGCAGCUACAAUAAGGAACCAGGAAAAAAAAAAAAGCUUUAAAUAUCUUCCACCAAUCUGUUUUGUCCAAACUAAUUUUCUUUCUCCCAAGCCAAUAUUGACUCCUGAAGGCAAGGAGCAAACAGUUCUGUACGUGUUGUACAGCUCAGGCCCUUAUCAGGGCUGAGACAGAAGUUCAGUUCACAUCAGAAAGACUUGAAAGAGAUUUUAUACAAAAUGUGUAUUUUUUUUCUACCAGAGCUUGACCACAUGUCUGCAAAGCACCUCUAACCUCCUUCCCAUGGCACCCUCAAACUGCACCAGUGUCAAGACAAGACACACUCCACCCGUUUCAUCUUCUCCCUUAACCUCUACAGAGCCUGUUGUUUCAUUUUAAACAAACUUUUUAAGUAAGACAGAUGCAAUGAGCUCCUGCUGACUUUCACCAAUAAAACUGUCUGUACAGAGUUCAGAGGGUGGUGUUAAUGCAGAUUUUAAUAAAAUUAGCCCAUUUUAAGGCUCUCUGGUUCCCCACUCAGCUUUAGAAGCUGAGGCUCUGCUUGACACCUGAGACACCUUCCAGCACUCCUGGACAUAGAGAUCAGCCCUUGAAACCAGCCAGCAGCUCGUUCCACAUUCCCUCCUCCUCUCCCCAGUUCCAGACCUGGAAGCACUUUACCAUACGGAGCCAAAGCACGACACUGUGUCCUGCCUAUGAACUGAUACCUUCACACCAUGGCAGCACUCAGACAGCUCCAGGGCCUGCAGGAAUUGGUGAGUGAUGGUUACUAAUUCCAACUUUUUUAUAGGAUUUUGCAGAAUACCACUGCCACUGCCUGCACAGUUCAGUCUCAGCAACAGCAAAGAGCAAUUCAAGUUUUACCCCAGGAAACAAACCAAGGACUGCUACACCCUGCAGAGAGAACUCAGAAGGAGAAAAACAUUGGAGCAAAUGACUUUGCUGCCCAAAUCGAUGUUCCACAAGCAGCCAGUCAAGUCUCAGGAGUACUCUGAUACUUCAGCUGGCUUUUCACAGCUGCCUGGGCAUUGAGAUGGCAGUGCCAUGGCCCUGGGUCAUCCCUGCACCUCCACCUUGACUGUUCCCACAUGCAAAUCAUUCUGUUCUUACAGUCAAACCACCCCUCUGGCAUUUCCAGCAACUGGAAAAAUCACAUCAAUAUACAACAACUGCAUUUUAAAAUUUAAUUCUUAAAUUUAACUGCAGGGACGUUCCUCUUCUGUAUCUUCUGUCACCACCAUGAGGAGGAAACUGCAGCUGUGACCAGGCAAAAUGGACCAAGGCACCAAAGCAAACAUAAUGUCCCCUUUCCUCAGGACACAGGGAGGCACCAGCAGCGACAGCAGCACCCGGAGCCGUGAGCUCUGCUCAGGUUUUGCCAUGCAAUGGGGAACACACAGGUUCCCAAAGGUGAGGAGACAGAGGCAACAGCCACCUGUGUAUCCCAUCCAGAUGGAGGAAACGAGAUCACAGCAGGGGAGAAAGGAGAAAAAAAAUUUAAAUUUAGCAGAACCUCUCCAAGCCAAGGUGCAGAUUUAAACAGCCAAAGGCAUUACAGCCAACCUCAGGCACCUUCAGCCUCUUGAGAUGUUGUGAUGUGAAUUAACUGCUCCCUUGCAACACCUUUUGCUGUACUCAGACUGAAAGUUUUAGAAACAGGUCAAAAUUAGCAAUUUUAAAAUGCCAGAAACCCUAAAAACUUGGCCUUUUACUCAGGAAUAAACUCCUCUUUAGCUAAAGCUGCUAUGGGCACAGGGAGCUCCCUUCAGUUUUGUUCUGGGCACCUCCUUUAUGUGUUUUAGCCCUAAAAGAAAAAUAUCCAAAUACUUAUGUUUUGUGAAAAGCCCUUGGGGAACCCCCCCUUUCCUCCCCUCAUUCUGUCACUCCUGGGGCACAGCAGGAGCUGCAGCCUGUGGCACUGUCCCACUCUGCUCACAGUGCUCACGUUACCUCCAGCAAAGGGGAAUGGCCCCAAAUCCAGGGAAGUAACAGCAAAUCUGUCCUCAAAAUCCUGAUACCAGAAGUUAAUCAAUGGGAAUGUCAUUUCUCACUGCAAAAUCUCUCACAGGAGCAGCAGGGAGGAAAAAGCACGUUGGUGUGUUAGCAGCACAUAAGACCUGACUGCUGACAGUAUUCUGUGCACUCCUCGUCACUCUGCACCCUGAGCAGGUGCUGCAAGUGGCAGAAGGCAACAUGGGGUUCACAAAUACUCAGCAAUCUCCCCAGUCCCCUUCUCUGGACCAUUUUUAAAUCACUGCCACUAAACCACCCUAAAGAUUGGAAGCACAGCCACGCAUGGAUUGUCCAUGUGGAAUAAACCCCUGGGGAUCCAGCCAACCCCCCACGUUCACUGACAGCACUGCUGGCACCAACAGCACACACACCACAGGCAUUUUAAUGGAGUGAACUUUGCCUGUGGCCUCCCACCAGCACACGUGUCAGGAAUUCUGCAGCACAGCCACACAACACUGCUCAAACGCCUCCGGAGUAAUUUUGGUGUCAGGAUAAAUCUUCAAAAGCGUAAGGGGAGGUGUGAAGGUUCAGCUCACACUGCUUUACAACACAACCAGGUAUCUCCUUGCACCUGGAAAAUCUCACACUCCAAACCACCCAUUGAGAACUGAACUUCUCGAUUUGGUUACUCCACUGCAUCGAAGAGAUUUAACCCCUGGCAGCCCCAGCUGUGGAGUUCUUGCUGCUGUUCUGGCAAUGAGCAAACGGGGCACACGGGUCACCCAGCAGGAGCCUUUUCCCAAUCCAGAGGUAAGGCAGAGUCUCAUCACUGUCAGUUCCCAGAGCAGACAACAGCCCUUGGUUUCUGAGUUCACCAGCGCUGCUGUCCUCAGUGUCUUUAUUUGCUUAGUGCCAACAAAGAGAGGCCCUGGUGGGUUUGGAGUUUGGUAUUUGGAUGUUCCCAUAAACCCAACAAUACUCCCACAGCCCCACACCACAGCAGCACAGGAGCCUUGUGUUCUUUAUAGGCUGGAGGAGAAGGAUUCUGCAUCCUGAACAAUGAAGAGGAAGGUGGUUGGGGUCUGCAGUCCCAUUCCAGCACCUUCUCCUUUUGGGUUUAACCACAGGUUGCCAACCCCUCCCGGUGCAGGGCUGGGCUGGGGGAGGUUUGGUUAUUGUGCAGCGUCUCAAGGAAACAGCACGUCCUGCCUGAGCUCUGCCCCGGCACACAGCUGAGCAGGGAGAGAGCAAGGAUGGCAGGUCUAUAAAACUGGGAGAAAGAAGUGACAGGGAGAAAGGCUGGAACGACUCCAAGGUAAUAACAUAACACUGGAAGGCAUGUAAACAAUUCUGGAUCAUGUUAGCUCCUUGUUUGUAGGAAAAGGAAUACUGACACAACUGAACCAAGAACCCUAACAAUGGUUUCAGGUACACAUUCUUCAUAUGCAAGAGGUAUUUGCAGAAUUACUACCUGAAAGUUGCAACCCACUGUGGGGAGGGGGAAGUUGUAACCUAGAGAGUAGGAAGCUGCUAGAAAACUGCCCCCAAAACCACCUCACAUUGCUGCUCAUGGGAACAGCCUCCAAACAGGAACAGCAUCUGUGGCACAGGGAUUUGGGGGUGAGGAUCCCCUGGUUUGCUGUGUGCUGGCAGAUUGAGCGAAGGAUUAAUUCUGAGCAGCUUUCCCAUCAAAUGGAAUACUGACAUGCAUGAACAGUAGCUUUGCAUUACCUGUGCACAGAGUACUGUUCAACUGAGAUCCAGAAAUCCCACAGAAAUCCCACAGAAAUCCCAUCUGAGAAAGGCUUCAUAGGCUCCAUGCCGACUGUGGUGUAGAGAUGGAUCUCCACCAGCUGAACAGAACCCCACAAGGGAUACAUUUAUUACUCAUACCCCAAAAUCACAUGGGGAUGAGAGGAAGAAUCAAUACAUUCUGACUUGAGUUCCGAUGGAAAGAGGCCCCAGCUUCCACCAGCAGCCAGUGCAGCACCACCUUUCCCCAGCUCUUCCCUGGCUGGUCAGCUUGUUUUGGGAAUAAAAAUCCUUUCACUUUAUUUGGUGUCAGAGGGAGUUGGCUAAACUAGAACAGUUGAAUGGUCAGUAUGAUCCCCAGCAGGGCAUCCAACGCCAGAGAGGGAGGUGGUGGAAGCAUGCAGAGGGCAGACUGGCACAGCCUAAGCCCCCAGUCCCAGUUCCCCCUGUGCAAGCAGCUCCUGGGCUCCUGCUGCCUCUGCUCCGAGGGACCUGCACAGAGCUGUCCGCAGGGCUGGGAAAUGAUUGUGCUUCUCAGCUCACUACAAGGACUCUUUUCCCUAUUCCUGCUUUCAGCAGCAGGAAGGGAGCAUUCUGAUUUUUUCCCUGCUGCAAAAGCAGUGUGUGUGUGUGUGUGUGUGUGUGUGUGUGUGUGUGUGUGUGUGUGUAAAAUCCUGAAAAAUAAUUGUGCAGCACCAUUGGUUCAGUCCAGAGGGAAGCUGGGAUACUCAGCUGUGUUUGGUGGCUUCCAAAGUGCCACCAGCUUGGAACCAAAUAUUGCCUAAGGUAACAUCCUCACAGUGGUUGGUAGUUCAAAGAGGCUCAAACACUGUCUUAUUACUCCUGUUAAAUCCACGAACAAUCCAUCUCUCCCGGUCCCUUCCGCACGCGAAAAUUCCCAAACGAAAUUUAAAAAACCCCAAAAAACCAAACAGGAAUAAAAUAAAUAAAUAAAUAAAGGCAUUCCCAAAACAUUUAUUUUGCUUCUCUCUUUCUCUCUCUCCAAUCAGCUCAGAGACACCGAUGUCACCUACCUUCGCCCACUGAGCUGCGUACGGAGCCGGGAGCCCUGAACUGCAGCACUCCCGUGGUCUCUCCUGCUUCUGGAAAACUGUCCCAACCCUCCUUCCAUUCCCACGGAUCAGUAACUCAUUGGCUAUAUGGAAAAGAAGUUAUCCAAAGCACACGAUGGCACAUGGAGGCUGCAGAAAGCAUCGGGAAAGGAGAACAGAACGACAGCAGCUGUUCCUCCUGCCCUAACUAAAGGCUGAGCCACGGCACAACUCCCCCUCCAGCCCGACCCAAAGGCUGUCACCCCUCGCCCAGACAUUCUUGUGGUGCAUUACUGGCACUUUAUAGCAGUCUCAUAUGGUAGAUACAUGCACAUGUCUGUGUGUUACAUACAAAAGGUCUGAUAACAGUAAAACAUUGUUCCGAGAGAUAUAAAAAACCCAAGGAGUUGCAUUAGCCAAAAAAAGUGUUUUGUGAGAAACAACAAUAAAAAUGAUAUAACCACAGCUUUUCUUUUCUUUAAAAUUAGAUAAAUACCCAAAGCUAUGAUUUCACUUGGGGCCUCUGUACCUUGACAGGGAGUCCAAUGGAGUAUAUCUGAAGGCACUUAAUAUCCUCUACUCAGCUGUAAGAUGGUUGCACAGGGAGCUGGGGAGCUUGGGAUGUGGUUUGGGGCAUGGAGGAGACAGAUGGAUGAAAACAAGCCCUGAAGAGCCAUGAUCCACACAGCCCCAGGUGCCGAAAUGAACACAAACGUACAACCCAGGUGUGGAGAAGGUCUCUCUUGGAAAAGAAAACUGCCAAUUGCAAAAGUCUGUGUGUUUCUAUGGACAGAGCACUUCAUGCAACUCUGACAGUUCAUCAUACACUCUUAGAGAUAUUUAGCUUUGUCAGUUCAUUGACCUCCUCAGUCCCCGUUUCCUCACAGUCAUCCUUUUCCGUGGCUUUGCCAAACCUGCACCUCUCCUCUGCCUUCGCCGCGUCUUUCUGGAGCUUCUUGGCGGAAGGAAGGAUGUCCUUGGCUUCUGAGUUAUCUGUGCCAUGGGCUAUCUUAUCAGAAUUCUGUACAGAAGGCACCAGGUUGGCAAUCUCAUCCGUCGGAGACCGCCCAAUGCUGCCAUCCACUUGCACCCGAAUGUCUGGAGAUAUGGACAACUGGUGAUGUGGCACGAUCCCGUUGUCCAUGCACUUGGGGUAAAGGUAGGUCUUCAUCUGACCCUUCCCCUUCACAUUGACCGUCCCCCUGUAGUCAAAGUCAUACCCCAUCUUGUUGAGGAUGCGGUAGCUCUCCUCACUCACCUGGAUGCGGCACUCAACGCCGGUGGUGUC